UAGGGAAUCUUCGGCAAUGGGGGGAACCCUGACCGAGCAACGCCGCGUGAGUGAAGAAGGUUUUCGGAUCGUAAAGCUCUGUUGUUAAGGAAGAACGAGUGUGAGAAUGGAAAGUUCAUACUGUGACGGUACUUAACCAGAAAGGGACGGCUAACUACGUGCCAGCAGCCGCGGUAAUACGUAGGUCCCGAGCGUUGUCCGGAUUUAUUGGGCGUAAAGCGCGCGUAGGCGGUUUUUUAAGUCUGAUGUGAAAGCCCACGGCUCAACCGUGGAGGGUCAUUGGAAACUGGAAAACUUGAGUGCAGAAGAGGAAAGUGGAAUUCCAUGUGUAGCGGUGAAAUGCGCAGAGAUAUGGAGGAACACCAGUGGCGAAGGCGACUUUCUGGUCUGUAACUGACGCUGAUGUGCGAAAGCGUGGGAAUCAAACAGG
rnacentral:rRNA from 1 species